rnacentral:rRNA from 1 species
GACGAACGCUGGCGGCGUGCUUAACACAUGCAAGUCGAACGCAGUGGCGAACGGGUGAGUAACGCGUAAUCAACCUGCCCUUCAGAGGGGGACAACAGUUUGAAACGACUGCUCAUACCGCAUACUGAAGGAGGGGCUUGCGUCUGAUUAGCUAGUUGGCGGGGUAACGGCCCACCAAGGCGAUGAUCAGUAGCCGGGCUGAGAGGAUGAACGGCCACAUUGGGACUGAGACACGGCCCAGACUCCUACGGGAGGCAGCAGUGGGGAAUCUUACGCAAUGGACGAAAGUCUGACGGAGCAACGCCGCGGGAGUGAUGACGGCCUUCGGGUUGUAAAGCUCUGUUAAUCGGGACGCGGUACCGGAAUAGAAAGCCACGGCUAACUACGUGCCAGCAGCCGCGGUAAUAC